rnacentral:rRNA from 1 species
AGCGAACGCUGGCGGCAGGCUUAACACAUGCAAGUCGAACGCCCCGCAAGGGGAGUGGCAGACGGGUGAGUAACACGUGGGAACGUACCCUUUGGUUCGGAAUAACUUGGGGAAACUCAAGCUAAUACCGGAUAAGCCCUUAUGGGGAAAGGUUUACUGCCGAAGGAUCGGCCCGCGUCUGAUUAGCUAGUUGGUGAGGUAAUGGCUCACCAAGGCGACGACCAGGAGCUGGUCUGAGAGGAUGAUCAGCCACACUGGGACUGAGACACGGCCCAGACUCCUACGGGAGGCAGCAGUGGGGAAUAUUGGACAAUGGGGGCAACCCUGAUCCAGCCAUGCCGCGUGAGUGAUGAAGGCCUUAGGGUUGUAAAGCUCUUUUACCCGGGACGAUAAUGACUGUACCGGGAGAAUAAGCCCCGGCUAACUUCGUGCCAGCCGCCGCGGUAA